CUCGUAGGCGGCCAACUAAGUCAGACGUGAAAUCCCUCGCUUAACCGGGGAACUGCGUCUGAUACUGGAUGGCUUGAGUUUGGGAGAGGGAUGCGGAAUUCCAGGUGUAGCGGUGAAAUGCGUAGAUAUCUGGAGGAACACCGGUGGCGAAGGCGGCAUCCUGGACCAACACUAACGCUGAAUGAGCGAAAGCCAGGGAGCAAACG
rnacentral:rRNA from 1 species